rnacentral:rRNA from 1 species
GUGUAAGUUAUUAAGGGCACACGGUGGAUGCCUUGGCAUUAAGAGCCGAUGAAGGACGUGUGAAUCUGCGAUAAGCCUCGGGGAGCCGAUAACUGGGCUGUGAUCCGAGGAUUUCCGAAUGGGGAAACCUGGCUCAUCUUCAUGGUGAGUUACCGCCAGCUGAAUGUAUAGGCUGGUUGGGGGGAACGCGGGGAAGUGAAACAUCUCAGUACCCGCAGGAAGAGAAAAUAAAGUAAUGAUUCUGUGAGUAGUGGCGAGCGAAAGCGGAAGAGACUAAACCUGUGGUGUGUGAUAGCGGUUAGGCGUUGCAUCAUGGGGGUUGUGGGAGUCACAGUGGCAGUUCUAACUGGCUGCCGGCAUGAUGUUCAGGAUGGUAGGUGAACGACUUGGAAUGGUCGGCCGUAGAGGGUGAGAGUCCCGUAAUCGAAAUUGUUCUGUCCGUGGUGUGGCCACCCGAGUAGCACGGGGCUCGUGGAAUCUCGUGUGAAUCUGCCAGGACCACCUGGUAAGUCUAAAUACUUCUUAAUGACCGAUAGUGAAUCAGUACCGUGAGGGAAUGGUGAAAAGUACCCCGGGAGGGGAGUGAAAUAGUACCUGAAACCGUGUGCUUACAAGCCGUUGGAGCCUUUUGGGGUGACAGCGUGCCUUUUGAAGAAUGAGCCUGCGAGUUAGUGUUAUGUCGCGAGGUUAACCCGUGUGGGGUAUCCGUAGCGAAAGCGAGUCUGAAUAGGGCGUUUGAGUGGCAUGACCUAGACCCGAAGCGGAGUGAUCUAUCCAUGGCCAGGUUGAAGCGACGGUAAGACGUCGUGGAGGACCGAACCCACUUCAGUUGAAAAUGGAGGGGAUGAGCUGUGGAUAGGGGUGAAAGGCCAAUCAAACUCUGUGAUAGCUGGUUCUCCCCGAAAUGCAUUUAGGUGCAGCGUUACGUGUUUCUUGCCGGAGGUAGAGCUACUGGAUGGCCGAUGGGCCUUCACGGGUUACUGACGUCAGCUAAACUCCGAAUGCCGGUAAGUGAGAGCGUAGCAGUGAGACAGUGGGGGAUAAGCUUCAUUGUCGAGAGGGAAACAGCCCAGACCACCAACUAAGGCCCCUAAGCGUGUGCUAAGUGGGAAAGGAUGUGGAGUUGCUUAGACAACCAGGAGGUUGGCUUAGAAGCAGCCAUCCUUGAAAGAGUGCGUAACAGCUCACUGGUCAAGUGAUUCUGCGCCGAUAAUGUAGCGGGGCUCAAGUACACCGCCGAAGUUGUGGCAAUGACCUUUUUUGGUUGUUGGGUAGGGGAGCGUCGUGUAGCCGGUGAAGCUGCGGUGUAAACCAGUGGUGGAGGCUAUGCGAGUGAGAAUGCAGGCAUGAGUAGCGAAAGAUGAGUGAGAAACUCAUCCGCCGGAUGAUCAAGGGUUCCAGGGUCAAGUUAAUCUGCCCUGGGUUAGUCGGGGCCUAAGGCGAGGCCGACAGGCGUAGUCGAUGGAUAACGGGUUGAUAUUCCCGUACCGGUGAAAAACCGCCCAUACUGAUAUUGUGAUGCUAACCAUGCGAAGCAUGAUGUGCAGGCUUUUGUUUGUGUGUUGUGUGGGUUGUGGGACCCGAUCUUUGGAGGUAAACGUAUUAACAGGUGUGACGCAGGAAGGUAGCCAAGCCACGCGAUGGUUGUCGUGGUCUAAGCGUGUAGGGUUGUCGGUUGUUAAAUGCGCCGGCUGUGUGCCUGAGACGUGAUGGGACCCCGUUUUUGGGGGAUUUGGUGAUCCUAUGCUGCCGAGAAAAGCAUCGGCGUGAGGUUUUAGCCGCCCGUACCCUAAACCGACACAGGUGAUCAGGUAGAGAAUACUAAGGCGAUCGAGAGAAUCAUGGUUAAGGAACUCGGCAAAAUGCCCCCGUAACUUCGGGAGAAGGGGGACCUUGAGCGUGAUGGGCACUUGCUGCCUGGAGCGUGUAUGGGUCGCAGAGACCAGGGGGAAGCGACUGUUUAUCAAAAACACAGGUCCGUGCGAAGUCGUAAGACGAUGUAUACGGACUGACUCCUGCCCGGUGCUGGAAGGUUAAGAGGAUUGGUUAGCCCUUUU